GAAAUGAGACCCCUGGCCGGACUCUACGGGAGCAGCAGUAGGCACUUUGACAAUGGGGCAAGCCUGAUCCAGCCAUGCGCGCGUGUGCGAUGAAGACCUCCGGGUUAUAAAAGCAUUUCUAGCAGGAAAGAAACGUUCCGGGUUAAUAACCCGGGAAACUGACGGUACCUGCAGAAUAAGCACCGUCUAACUACGUGACAGCAGCCGCGGUAAUAUGUAGGGUGCAAGCGUUAAUCGGAAUUGCUGGGCGUAAAGCGUGCGCAGGCGGUUCGGAAAGAAAGAUGUGAGAUCCCAGAGCUUAACUUUGGAACUGCAUUUUUAACUACCGAGCUAGAGUGUGUCAGAGGGAGGUGGAGUUCCGCGUGUAGCAGUGAAAUGCGUAGAUAUGCGGAGGAACACCGAUGGCGAAGGCAGCCUCCUGGGAUAACACUGACGCUCAUGCACGAAAGCGUGGGGAGCAAACAGGAUUAGAUACCCUGGUAGUCCACGCCCUAAACGAUGUCAACUAGCUGUUGGGGCCUUCGGGCCUUGGUAGCGCAGCUAACGCGUGAAGUUGACCGCCUGGGGAGUACGGUCGCAAGAUUAAAACUCAAAGGAAUUGACGGGGACCCGCACAAGCGGUGGAUGAUGUGGAUUAAUUCGAUGCAACGCGAAAAACCUUACCUACCCUUGACAUGUCUGGAAUGCCGAAGAGAUUUGGUAGUGCUCGCAAGAGAACCGGAACACAGGUGCUGCAUGGCUGUCGUCAGCUCGUGUCGUGAGAUGUUGGGUUAAGUCCCGCAACGAGCGCAACCCUUGUCAUUAGUUGCUACGAAAGGGCACUCUAAUGAGACUGCCGGUGACAAACCGGAGGAAGGUGGGGAUGACGUCAAGUCCUCAUGGCCCUUAUGGGUAGGGCUUCACACGUCAUACAAUGGUCGGGACAGAGGGUCGCCAACCCGCGAGGGGGAGCCAAUCCCAGAAACCCGAUCGUAGUCCGGAUCGCAGUCUGCAACUCGACUGCGUGAAGUCGGAAUCGCUAGUAAUCGCGGAUCAGCAUGUCGCGGGGAAUACGUUCCCGGGUCUUGUACACACCGCCCGUCACCCCAUGGGAGUGGGUUUUACCAGAAGUAGUUAGCCUAACCGGAAGGAGGGCGAUACCACGGUAAGGAUUCAAAUGG
rnacentral:rRNA from 1 species